UACGUAGGGUGCAAGCGUUGUCCGGAAUUAUUGGGCGUAAAGAGCUCGUAGGCGGUCUGUUGCGUCGGCUGUGAAAACCCGGGGCUCAACCCCGGGCCUGCAGCCGAUACGGGCAGACUAGAGUUCGGCAGGGGAGACUGGAAUUCCUGGUGUAGCGGUGAAAUGCGUAGAUAUCAGGAGGAACACCUGCGGUGUAGACGGCUUACUGGACCAUAACUGACGCUGAGGCACGAAAGCGUGGGUAGCAAACAGG
rnacentral:rRNA from 1 species